UACGAAGGGGGCUAGCGUUGCUCGGAAUCACUGGGCGUAAAGGGUGCGUAGGCGGGUCUUUAAGUCAGGGGUGAAAUCCUGGAGCUCAACUCCAGAACUGCCUUUGAUACUGAGGAUCUUGAGUCCGGGAGAGGUGAGUGGAACUGCGAGUGUAGAGGUGAAAUUCGUAGAUAUUCGUAAGAACACCAGUGGCGAAGGCGGCUCACUGGCCCGGUACUGACGCUGAGGCACGAAAGCGUGGGGAGCAAACAGG
rnacentral:rRNA from 1 species